GUGCUUGCUUCAGCAGCACAUACACUAAAAUUGGAAGAAUACAGAGAAGAUUAGUAUGGCCCCUGCGCAAGGAUGACACGCAAAUUCGUGAGGGGUUCCAUAUUAAG